GUGAAAACCAGCAGCUCAACUGCUGGCUUGCAGGCGAUACGGGCAGACUUGAGUACUGCAGGGGAGACUGGAAUUCCUGGUGUAGCGGUGAAAUGCGCAGAUAUCAGGAGGAACACCGGUGGCGAAGGCGGGUCUCUGGGCAGUAACUGACGCUGAGGAACGAAAGCGUGGGUAGCGAACAGGAUUAGAUACCCUGGUAGUCCACGCCGUAAACGGUGGGCGCUAGGUGUGGGUUCCUUCCACGGAAUCCGUGCCGUAGCUAACGCAUUAAGCGCCCCGCCUGGGGAGUACGGCCGCAAGGCUAAAACUCAAAGGAAUUGACGGGGGCCCGCACAAGCGGCGGAGCAUGUGGAUUAAUUCGAUGCAACGCGAAAAACCUUACCUGGGUUUGACAUAUACCGGAAAGCUGCAGAGAUGUGGCCCCCCUUGUGGUCGGUAUACAGGUGG
rnacentral:rRNA from 1 species